AGGGGAUCUGGGAGGGGCUGUCAGGAGUACUGGCAGACUGAGCCUCUGAGCUCGGCCACCUCUCUGCAG
rnacentral:miRNA from 1 species